GAUGAACGCUGGCGGCGUGCCUAAUACAUGCAAGUCGAGCGAACGGACGAGAAGCUUGCUUCUCUGAUGUUAGCGGCGGACGGGUGAGUAACACGUGGAUAACCUACCUAUAAGACUGGGAUAACUUCGGGAAACCGGAGCUAAUACCGGAUAAUAUUUUGAACCGCAUGGUUCAAAAGUGAAAGACGGUCUUGCUGUCACUUAUAGAUGGAUCCGCGCUGCAUUAGCUAGUUGGUAAGGUAACGGCUUACCAAGGCAACGAUGCAUAGCCGACCUGAGAGGGUGAUCAGCCACACUGGAACUGAGACACGGUCCAGACUCCUACGGGAGGCAGCAGUAGGGAAUAUUCGGCAAUGGGCGAAAGCCUGACGGAGCAACGCCGCGUGAGUGAUGAAGGUCUUCGGAUCGUAAAACUCUGUUAUUAGGGAAGAACAUAUGUGUAAGUAACUGUGCACAUCUUGACGGUACCUAAUCAGAAAGCCACGGCUAACUACGUG
rnacentral:rRNA from 1 species